UGUCGCACCACGAGGCGCUGUC
rnacentral:snRNA from 1 species